GGUUGUGGCUCAGUGGUACAGUGCUCGCCUAGCACAUAUGAGGCACUGGGUUCAAACCUCAGCACCA
rnacentral:tRNA from 1 species